AUUGAACGCUGGCGGCAGGCCUAACACAUGCAAGUCGAGCGAGCGGCGGACGGGUGAGCAAUGUAUGGGGACUGCCCGAUAGAGGGGGAUCACUACUGGAAACGUUGGCUAAUACCGCAUACUAUCGGAUAACCCAUAUGGGAUUAGCUAGUAGGUGGGGUAAAGGCUCACCUAGGCGACGAUCCCUAGCUGGUCUGAGAGGCUGAUCAGCGACACUGGGAGUGAGACACGGCCCAGACUCCUACGGAGGCAGCAGUGGGGAAUAUUGCACAGUGGGCGCAAGCCUGAUGCAGCCAUGCCGCGUGUGUGAAGAAGGCCUUAGGGUGGUAAAGUACUUUCAGCGGUGAGGCGUUACCCGCAGAAGAAGCACCGGCUAACUCCGUGCCAGCAGCCGCGGUAAUUC
rnacentral:rRNA from 1 species